GGACGCAUAGCUCAGCUGGUCAGAGCGUUCGCUUCACACGCGAGAGGUCUUGGGUUCGAGCCCCAAUGUGUCCACCA
rnacentral:tRNA from 1 species